GUUUGAUCCUGGCUCAGAAUCAACGCUGGCGGCGCGCUUAACACAUGCAAGUCGCACGAGAAAGUGGAGCAAUCCAUGAGUACAGUGGCGUACGGGUGAGUAACACGUGGAUAAUCUACCCUUUAGUGGGGAAUAACUCUGGGAAACCGGAGCUAAUACCGCAUAAGCCUGAAAAGGGAAAGCAGCAAUGCGCUGAAGGAGGAGUCCGCGGCCGAUUAGCUAGUUGGUAGGGUAAUGGCCUACCAAGGCAAUGAUCGGUAGCCGGCCUGAGAGGGCACACGGCCACACUGGCACUGAAACACGGGCCAGACUCCUACGGGAGGCAGCAGUGGGGAAUCUUGCACAAUGGAGGCAACUCUGAUGCAGCGACGCCGCGUGAGCGAUGAAGCCCUUCGGGGUGUAAA
rnacentral:rRNA from 1 species